rnacentral:rRNA from 1 species
GAUGAGCGCUGGCGGCGUGCCUAAUACAUGCAAGUCGAGCGAACAGACGAGGAGCUUGCUCCUCUGACGUUAGCGGCGGACGGGUGAGUAACACGUGGAUAACCUACCUAUAAGACUGGGAUAACUUCGGGAAACCGGAGCUAAUACCGGAUAAUAUAUUGAACCGCAUGGUUCAAUAGUGAAAGACGGUUUUGCUGUCACUUAUAGAUGGAUCCGCGCCGCAUUAGCUAGUCGGUAAGGUAACGGCUUACCAAGGCGACGAUGCGUAGCCGACCUGAGAGGGUGAUCGGCCACACUGGAACUGAGACACGGUCCAGACUCCUACGGGAGGCAGCAGUAGGGAAUCUUCCGCAAUGGGCGAAAGCCUGACGGAGCAACGCCGCGUGAGUGAUGAAGGUCUUCGGAUCGUAAAACUCUGUUAUUAGGGAAGAACAAAUGUGUAAGUAACUAUGCACGUCUUGACGGUACCUAAUCAGAAAGCCACGGCUAACUACGUG